CCUACGGGAGGCUGCAGUGGGGAAUAUUGCGCAAUGGGCGAAAGCCUGACGCAGCGACGCCGCGUGAGGGAUGAAGGUCUUCGGAUCGUAAACCUCUGUCAGCAGGGAAGAACGGUCACUGUGCUAAUCAGCAGUGAAUUGACGGUACCUGACUAAGAAGCCCCGGCUAACUACGUGCCAGCAGCCGCGGUAAUACGUAGGGGGCAAGCGUUAUCCGGAUUUACUGGGUGUAAAGGGAGCGUAGACGGCAAGGCAAGCCAGAAGUGAAAGGGCAGGGCUCAACCCUGUACAUGCUUUUGGAACUGUGGUGCUAGAGUGCAGGAGAGGUAAGUGGAAUUCCUAGUGUAGCGGUGAAAUGCGUAGAUAUUAGGAGGAACACCAGUGGCGAAGGCGGCUUACUGGACUGUAACUGACGUUGAGGCUCGAAAGCGUGGGGAGCAAACAGGAUUAGAUACCCCUGUAGUC
rnacentral:rRNA from 1 species